GUGGGGAAUAUUGGACAAUGGGCGCAAGCCUGAUCCAGCAAUGCCGCGUGUGUGAAGAAGGCCUGCGGGUUGUAAAGCACUUUCAGUAAGGAGGAAAACUUGAAGGUUAAUAGCCUUCGAGCUUGACGUUACUUACAGAAGAAGCACCGGCUAACUCCGUGCCAGCAGCCGCGGUAAUACGGAGGGUGCGAGCGUUAAUCGGAAUUACUGGGCGUAAAGCGCGCGUAGGCGGCUAAGUAAGUCGGAUGUGAAAGCCCUGGGCUCAACCUGGGAAUUGCAUUCGAUACUGCUUGGCUAGAGUAUGGUAGAGGGUAGUGGAAUUCCUGGUGUAGCGGUGAAAUGCGUAGAUAUCAGGAGGAACAUCAGUGGCGAAGGCGGCUACCUGGACCAAUACUGACGCUGAGGUGCGAAAGCGUGGGGAGCAAACAGG
rnacentral:rRNA from 1 species